CUUGCACGCGGAAAUCCGGAAAAUAUAAUUCCCCUUGAAAUGCAACUGCUAGUCAACCCGUGCAACAUCUCAACGAAAGCCCGAAAAGCAGUCUCCCCGCAGACCAAUCAGACCAGAAGCCUUCAUCAAUCUUUUCCGGUCGAUCAGCCUGGAGAAAAGACGUGAAAAUGCCUAACCAGCGACUCUCCUCGCCAUAUUGAGGUGAGACGCCGAAGGGAGAGGACGCCGCACCGCUCGCUCUCGCAUUUCUUCGUUCUGAGGUGAUUGGACUGUUGUUCCGGGUGUGUAUGGCAAGGGAACACAUGGGGCUAUUGUGGGAAGAAGAAUAGAAAACAAAUUGCCGUGAAAAUUGUGACAUUUACAAGCGCAAAAAAGUU